rnacentral:rRNA from 1 species
UACGUAGGGUGCGAGCGUUAAUCGGAAUUACUGGGCGUAAAGCGUGCGCAGGCGGUUCGCCAAGUCAGGCGUGAAAGCCCCGGGCUUAACCUGGGAACUGCGUUUGAUACGGAUGGGCUAGAGUUCGGGAGAGGAGAGUGGAAUUCCCAGUGUAGAGGUGAAAUUCGUAGAUAUUGGGAAGAACACCGGUGGCGAAGGCGGCUCUCUGGACCGAUACUGACGCUGAGGCGCGAAAGCGUGGGGGAGCAAACAGG